rnacentral:tRNA from 1 species
GUUUAAAUAGUUUAAUAAAAAUAUUGAUUUGUGGAAUCAAUGAUAUAAGUGAUUAUUUUAAACA